CGCCAUUCAACGGCAACAGCGCAGAACUGAGAGUCAGGAGACAGCGGAACUCUGGAGGGGACAAAAAUGGCGGUGAAAUCUUUAGCACGCAAAUCUCUCUGCUUCCUGUCCAAGUCUCCAUCCCUAGCGCCGUCCUGUGCUCAUGGUCGCCUCGCAUUUAGGAGUUCUAGAUAUUUGAAUAUUUGCGAGAAGAAUUUUCCGGUUGCUUUUGGAAGCUGGAACUCGCGGCAUUGGGGAAUAGGUGCUAGAAGGUGUGACGUCGGGGGUAUUCAGUGGAUUCACUCGGGUCGGGUUAUGGGAAAUGUGGAGCGACCUAUGGAGCAGGGUGGUGAGGGUGAGGUAAACAAGAGGAAGAAACUGAAGGGAAAGAGGGCGAUGGUGAGGUGGUUGAAGCAUUUCAGGUGGAAGAAGAAGACGACUUAUGAAAGAAUGACUCCUGAAGAAAAAAUCCUCUACAAGUUGGGGAAGGCUAGAAGAAAAGAACAGAGGUUAACUGAAGCUCUUGAAAAAAUCAUACCUAAACACACUUCCGAAACCACCCAUGAUCCCGAGAUAUUGACUCCCGAAGAACACUUCUACUUUUUGAAGAUGGGAGAGAAGUGCAAGAAUUAUGUCCCAGUUGGGAGACGCGGGAUAUAUCAGGGUGUCAUAUUGAACAUGCACUUGCAUUGGAAGAAGCACCAGACUUUGAAAGUCAUCGUGAAGACUUUCUCUCCCAAGGAGGUGGAGGGCAUCGCUUCAGAGCUAGCGAGGUUGAGUGGUGGGAUUGUGCUCGAUAUUCAGGAUCACAACACGAUUAUCAUGUAUCGAGGGAAGAACUACUCCCAGCCCCCUACAGAGAUAAUGUCUCCAAGGAUAACCCUAUCCAGGAAGAAGGCUUUGGACAAAUCCAAGUAUAGGGAUGCUCUAAGGGCUAUUCGGAGAUAUAUCCCAAAACUUGAGCAAGAUCUGGAGCUGCUUCGAGCUCAGGCCGAAAGAAAAAUUGGUGUGAAUGAAGAAAAACAUACGGCCGACGAAAAUUUGGAAAGCCACUCUAGCCAAGUUUUGGAGGGAUCCGAAAGGCUGAGAGAACUACUGGCUAAAAGUGACAUAACUGAUGACUAUAAUUCAAGUGCAGAUUCUGAUCUGAUUUCAGAUUCUGAGUCUCUAUCCGAUAUUUUUGAGAUGGAUUCAGAAGCUGAGAAUGAGGAGAAACCCGAAAAGCCUCUUUACCUUGAUGAGUUGGAUAAGAUUCAAGUGCAUGACAACGGACAGGAUUUUGAAGAACACCUGCGUCAAAUAUCAGCCGAUUCCAGAACACAAAGGAUGUCUGAAAAAGAUGGGGAGGAAUCGCAAGACCUUGAUGAGGUUGAUCGACUGGUUUUGCGGGCUGCUUCACUUUUGAAGAAAAAGAGGAAAUAAAUAGGUGCCCUUUGCGUAUAUUGGAUGAUGGAAAUUCUCUACUUGUUGUCUGUAUGCUAAACUGAUUUCUGGAGCAUUAAUCAUCAUUUGAGCGAGGCAAAGCUUCGAUGGAUAAAAUUCUGCAACAAAGCCUGCCUACAUUACUUGAUGAGCAAAAAGAGUUAUUCCUCUGGUUUUUCAAACUUAUCCCAAAUGUGGAGACGAUUAUACCAAGUAAGAGGUGAAGCUGUAGCUCCCCAAUAUAUGGUUGCAGUUUAUGGGAUCACACAUCUUAAAGACAUCUCAUCUGGAUUACUGGAGGAAUACAAUUUAGGAACAGCGGAUACUUGCAAGAAGCUAAUCAGAUCAUUGAAUAGCUCUACUUAUCCUAUCUGCGGAGAUCGGUCUGAAUCCAUCCUUCAUGUGGUUGCAGAUUGUCCUCAGGUAACACCGAUACGUUAUCUUUUUUAACAUCCGGCAAAUUACAAAGCUUUUUACAUUAUGUAUAUAUAUAACUUGUGCCCGGCUCAUGUUUUAUCAAAUUGUCAUUGUUUCUUCAAUGUCCAAAACCACCAUAGUAUAGACUACAUUUUGUAGGCAGUAGCACAAUUUCCUCAGCUAAUUAAUUGUAUGCAUAAUGUUAGAUAACUAACCUAGAUCUCACUUGUCUGUUAUACUUCUUACAAUUUUGGGAAACAAAGCUUGAAAGAACAAUAAAAAGCCAUUAAUGUUUAGGGAUGUCAAUGGGCCGAAGAAUUGUGAAUUGAAAAAAAUAGUAAGUUGAAAGAUAGUACUACAAUAUAGUUAAGCUUGUGAAAAAUUGA